GAGGCAUCUCUUAAAUAUCAAAGGUGAGCCAGUACAGGAUGGACCCGCGUCUGAUUAGCUAGUUGGUAAGGUAACGGCUUACCAAGGCGACGAUCAGUAGCCGACCUGAGAGGGUGAUCGGCCACAUUGGAACUGAGACACGGUCCAAACUCCUACGGGAGGCAGCAGUGGGGAAUAUUGCACAAUGGGCGAAAGCCUGAUGCAGCAACGCCGCGUGAGUGAUGAAGGCCUUCGGGUCGUAAAACUCUGUCCUCAAGGAAGAUAAUGACGGUACUUGAGGAGGAAGCCCCGGCUAACUACGUGCCAGCAGCCGCGGUAAUACGUAGGGGGCUAGCGUUAUCCGGAUUUACUGGGCGUAAAGGGUGCGUAGGCGGUCUUUCAAGUCAGGAGUGAAAGGCUACGGCUCAACCGUAGUAAGCUCUUGAAACUGGGAGACUUGAGUGCAGGAGAGGAGAGUGGAAUUCCUAGUGUAGCGGUGAAAUGCGUAGAUAUUAGGAGGAACACCAGUUGCGAAGGCGGCUCUCUGGACUGUAACUGACGCUGAGGCACGAAAGCGUGGGGAGCAAACAGGAUUAGAUACCCUGGUAGUCCACGCUGUAAACGAUGAGUAC
rnacentral:rRNA from 1 species